CAAGACCCCAGAUGGGACUUUUCGACUUUUUCAAGAAGGAUAAAGAGAGCAAGGAACAGCAGGAAUCGCU
rnacentral:misc_RNA from 1 species